GCCUGAUGCAGCAACGCCGCGUGAGGGACGACGGCCUUCGGGUUGUAAACCUCUUUUAGCAGGGAAGAAGCGAAAGUGACGGUACCUGCAGAAAAAGCACCGGCUAACUACGUGCCAGCAGCCGCGGUAAUACGUAGGGUGCAAGCGUUAUCCGGAAUUAUUGGGCGUAAAGAGCUCGUAGGCGGUUUGUCGCGUCUGCUGUGAAAUCUGGGGGCUCAACCCCCAGCCUGCAGUGGGUACGGGCAGACUAGAGUGCGGUAGGGGAGAUUGGAAUUCCUGGUGUAGCGGUGGAAUGCGCAGAUAUCAAGAGGAACACCGAUGGCCAACUCAGAUCUCUGGGCCGGAACUGACGCUGAGGAGCGAAGGGGUGGGGAGCAAAUAGGCUUACAUGCCCUGGUAGUCCACCCCGUAAACGUGGGGAACUAGUUGGGGGGUCCAUUCCACGGAUUCCGUGACGCAUCUAAGGCAUUAAGUUGCCCGCCUGGGGAGUACGGCCGCAAGGCUAAAACUCAGAGGAAUUGACGGGGACCCGCACAAGCGGGGGAUCAUGCGCAUUAAUUCGAUGCAACGCGAACAACCUUACCAAGGCUUGACAUAUAGACUCAACACCGUGGAAACACGGGACUCUUUGGACA
rnacentral:rRNA from 1 species